ACGCUAAUACCGCAUAAGCCCACGACCACUUCGGUGGAUGAGGGAAAAGCUGGCCACUGUAUACAAGCUAGCACUUGAGGAUGAUCCUGCGGCGCAUCAGCUAGUUGGUGAGGUAAUGGCUCACCAAGGCUUAGACGCGUAGCUGGUCUGAGAGGAUGAUCAGCCACACUGGCACUGAAACACGGGCCAGACUCCUACGGGAGGCAGCAGUGGGGAAUAUUGGACAAUGGCGCAAGCCUGAUCCAGCCACGCCGCGUGAGUGAUGAAGGCCUUCGGGUUGUAAAGCUCUGUGGGGAGGGACGAAAACGGCAUCCAAGAAACGGGGUGUCCUUGACGGUACCUCCUUAGCAAGCACCGGCUAACUCUGUGCCAGCAGCCGCGGUAA
rnacentral:rRNA from 1 species